CCCUGCUGGUGCAGCCCCGGCCGAGGGUGCCCCGAGCCGGCUCUCCGCCGGCCGUGCCGGCGCCGCCGCUGCCGCCCCCUGCCGAGUGCGGCGCCGCUGUGCUGGAGGGGUCCCGAGGGAACAGACCCAACCCGGGGCUGAGACCCAAAACCCCAUUCCCCUCUCCAGCUGACAGAUGUAGAGGAGUCUUACACCACCUGAGGCACAGAAACCUUGCAUCAGUCAAAAGCUUCCCUACCCCUGCACUCUUCCAUGCAUGUCCCAAGAAUGAGCUGAGGCUGCCGUUGUGUCCUUUCCUCUUCUCCCUGCACUGAUGCUGUGUUGAGGAAGAGAAAUGUAUAAUGUGUGUGAAGAUAGUGUGUCUUCAGGAAAUGUGGUGAGAGCUUACUAUGGAAAGGAACUUCUCGGUGACUGUGCUCCGGGAGAAGAUGAACCCCCACCCCAGUGUAGAGCCAAUGCAGAGCUGCUGCAGCUCUUGCUUCCCAGCAUAGCUGGGCCAUGGCAUGGUUCUGCACAACCCUUUGUCUGGGUUUUGGAUGGGUCAAGAAACAGCUCUGUGACCCACUUCUUCCUGGACAGCCAAAUACAUCCUACUGCACCAGAGAGAGGAGCUUCCCUGCAGGAGGUAGAGGCUAUGGAUGUCCUGAGGUGCCCUCCUGGGAUAUCUGAAAUUGCUUUUCCUGCUCACCUGUGGAAAGACCCUCAAAUCCAAGGGCAGGUAGAAAAGACCUUAUUAAAGAGUGCAAGGCCCCAGACUUCUCCCUGCUUGGAUGGAGCAGAAAUGCAGUGAGGAGCAAACGGUACCAAAAGUCCCACACCCUCAGAGUUGUCAGAGGGGAAACAGGCUCCCUGGUGGCUUCCAGAGAGAUCUCCUGCCCCUACCAAAUCAAAGUUUAGCAUUUACCCCAAUAAAACCCCAAAAAAGUAGGGUCCUUGCUGAGUCAGUUCUGUAGCUGGUGAUGUGUGUAUUUUCGUGCAUGGCUUUUCUUUUGGUGCAAACAUGGGUGGCAAUCUGAUUAGCUCAUGAUUCAUGAUUUGGCUAAUGUCCCUACUUCCCCCAGUCCCCACCUGUUCAAAUAACUACUACUGUAAUGUAGGCUGUUAACUUGAAAUAACUUUUCCAACCCCUUUGGUAAAUGAGCUCUGGAAACUCUUUAAGUUUUGUCCAGAGGCAGCAGUUGCAAUAAUUUAACUAAAAUGCUUUUCAAACCAAGUCAACAUGGUGCAAAACUCUAUAUGUGAGCAUUUUAGAAGAAACAAGUUUACUUUGAGCUGUUUCUUUUUAACUAAUGCCAUGAUGAGACAUGCUGUUCUGGGAGAGCCUGGUUUCCAGACCCUACUGCUUGGCACUGCUUCUUGCCAAAGCCCAUCCCCUCCCCAGCUCUGCCACACAGAAAUACGGCUUCUCACCCAGCCCUGCUAGCAGGAGCCAGGUGAGCAAACCCUCCCAUUCCAAGAGUCACAGCUGAUCUGGAAUAUCAUGCCAGAGCAGGGUGAGGAAAGGCUGCUCCAGGCAGUUUGGCUGUCAGACCUCAGCGGAGCAGAGGGAAAACCUGCACAAGCAGCCAUGGUGGAUUGAGGCUGGUGGCUUGAGCCACCUCUGCUACUGUCACCUGAGCAGGCUGGGCACUGCUCCUUUGGUCACCUGUCCUGUGCCAAUCACCCAGUGCAGUUAACCCAGCCUGAGGGGGUUACAGCAGCAGCUCCAUAUGCCCUUUGCACCAGCUCAAACAGAUCAGGCAGGGUUAGGACAACUUCCCAAAAGCCUUACAUUAUGUAAGUGAUACAGUAAAA